UACAGAGGGUGCAAGCGUUAAUCGGAAUUACUGGGCGUAAGUGUGCGCAGGUGGCCGCGCAUGUCGAGUGUGAAAGCCCCCGGCUCAACUGGGGAGGGUCAUUCGAUACUGAUCGACUCGAAGGCAGGAGAGGGUAGUGGAAUUCCCGGUGUAGUGGUGAAAUGCGUAGAUAUCGGGAGGAACACCAGUGGCGAAGGCGACUACCUGGCCUGUUCUUGACGCUGAGGCGCGAAAGCUAGGGGAGCAAACGGGG
rnacentral:rRNA from 1 species